GAAUUUCACACUGUUGCCCAGGCUGAAGUGUAAUGGCGCGAUCUCAGUUCACCGCAACCUCCACCUCCCAGGUUCAAGUGAUUCACCUUGCCUCAGCCUCCCAUGUGGCUGGGAUUACAGGCACCCGCCACCACACCUGGCUAAUUUUUUUAUAUUGUAUUUUGUAUUUUUUUUUAGUAGAGACGGGGUUUCACCAUAUUGGCCAGGCUGGUCUUGAACUCCUAACUUCGUGAUCCACCUGCCUCGGCCUCCCAAAGUGCUGGGAUUACAGGUGUGAGCCACCACACCCAGCCCUGGUUUUUUUUUUCAUAAAUGUUUUUACCAAUGAAAAAAGGAGAUUAAAAUAUCUGUUGAUGUUAUCUUGAGAAGCAGAACAAAGAAAGAACAGAUUAGUGAAUUGUCUCAAGUGUAGAAUCCAUAUAAACAUGCAGUAUUGUACUAUUUGUCAGUUUCAACCUGCAGACUGCCCAUAGUGUACAGGAUAAAAUAGAAAUACAUGCAGGCAGGACCCUUCUGAUCUGACUCUUGCCCACCCUUGCAGCCUCAUCUCUUGUCACGCUUUGCCAUUUUAGAUCCCAUGUUUAAAGCCAUAUCAAACAACUGACAGUCCCCUCGAUAUGUUGUGACUUUUCACACUUCAUGACUUCACAAAAUUUGUCUUUUGGGUCCAUCUCUUCCCAUCCUCCCACCAACCUAACCACAUCCUCUGGCUGACUCCUACACCUUCUUUGAGAUCCAAAGCAUAUGUGUCCUCCAAAGCUCUCCUGAAACCCUCAGGCAACCAUGAAUGGAACAUGUAUGUACUUCUGUUAUUGUAUUAAAUACUCUGCAUUACAAUCAUCAGUUCAUAUUUCAUAUAAUUUAAUGUCAAUAUUAAAAAUGGCUUAGGUGUAAUACCAAUUAGUUGCUAAUUAUAUGCCAGCAUUUUACCUGUGUUAUUUCUGUCUCCUAUGAGGUGGUUACUAUUGAUUUUACUCACUUUAUAAAGCAGAAAACAAGCUUAGAAAUAAGAGGGAACUCGCCUGGGGUUACCCAGGUGGCAAGUGGUGUCCCAGGCAUCUGGGUAGACAGGCCCAAUAUCAAACCACUAUACUCUCUUACUCCUCUCUCUGACUCUUAAACUUCUGAAGGCACAGAUAGUUUUUUGUUUUGUUUUGUGUCUUGAUCCUCAGUUCACUGCAUGAAGUGAGGAGCUGACAAGUAAUAAAAGAGACUGGCAUUUCUGGUUUGGCCUUUAGGGAGCUGAGUAUGGGAGCAGGCACUUGGCCUUGCCAUCUACCCUUACUACACAACCCCCUGCUUCUCACCAGUGUCUCAAGCCACCAUAAAACCCUGUGUAAGAAAAGAUGCAGGGAAUAUGUGUUUAGAGUCCCUCAGUUCACUUUCUCCACAUACUGUCUUCAGGUCCAUCCUGCCUGGCUUUAUUUUGUGCACACAGCUGAGCAGGCCACAUGUGUGGAAAAGGCUUAUGAUUGGAGUGAGCGAGGUGUCAGAACAAGAUGAGCUUUGUGAUCGCUCAGCUCUAGGGAGCGAUUGUUGUUUUCAAGCCUUCACCCUCCCUCACACUUCGCACUCACUUUAAUUGUGACCAAUUUGGAAGUGCUAUUUGCAUCUGCUGGAAUAAAAUACGUACAGCUGUGGAAAUAACAAAAAAUGAAAACUCACUCUUAGUGGAGGUCGGGGGGGACCUUCAUCAAUUGCUACUGAGUACUUAAAAUGAAAAUGUUGCCUUUCCUAACAAACAGCACUGAGAUUUUUCGGAGUGCAAUUUUCUCUGCUCGUGCAUAUGUAUGCAAUAGAUAUCUUCAGAUAUACUUCUCCCCACGCUUUGGUUGGGGUUACAAACGCAGAAGUGGGCCUUCAAGACAGCCUUUUAUUAGAUCUAAAACCAGUGGGCUAAGUAGCACAUCUUAAGUCAUCAUAAGAUAUAAUUAUUACUGAAUUGAAAAGACACAAAACACCAAAAAAAUUCUUAGAGUUGAGGAUCAACCUAAAUAUUACUUCUUACUUCUCCUAAUCCCCAUUGUGCCAGAUCAGUGCUUUGUAUCUGGUAGAUAUUCAAGCACUAUUUCCUGAGUCAAUCGUAGGACACUCCAAACAAUAAAAUGUGAGAAGUCAGAAGGAAAGGGGAGGAAAAGGCACAGGACAUGUAUUCAGCCUCUACUACCUGCUGGAUAAUGUGCUUAAACCUCACAAAAACCUAAAGUGACUUUUUAUUUUCAUGUUAUCAAUAACGAGAACUCAAACUUAAAGAAACUAGUCUGUAAAGUUUUUAGAAUUUUCACUCCUUGUUAAAUCAAGGUAAGAAAACAGACUACAUCCCACCACCCCUCUUCCCAUGUGGGUCACAUGGAAGCUGCCUCAAGUUGUCAUUAAGGAUGCUAGAGUUGGACCACCUGGGCCUGAAUUCUGAUUCCACCAUUUGCUAGCCACAUAGCUCUGGGCAAGAUAAGUAAAUUCUCUGGGCCUCAGUUUCCCCAUGUGAAAAACUGGAUUGAUAAUAAUAUCCAUUUCAUAGGGCUUUUGUGAGAACAAAAUGAAAUAACAAUAAAGUCUUUAGAAUAGUGUCUGGACAUAGGCAGUACUUAAUAACAGUACUAACUGCCAUAGUUUGGCAAAAAAAAAAAAGACACUUAAGAUUGGAAUUUGUGUCUGAUCCACAUUAAAUUCCUCUUUUCCCCACUUCAUCAAGUAGCUUUCCUGAAAAUUGAACCUUUAGGUAUUCAGGUAUUCACACUAUCUUAAAUUUUCUGUCGUUCUUUCCUUCCCUCCAUCCUUCCUAUCUCUUUUUUUUUUCUUUCCCUCCCUCCCAAACACAUGGAAUGGAUAGGUACUCUUCUAUGUACAUACUGAGUUAGUUUCAUUUUCAGAAACAUUUUUAGAAACCAGUGCUCCCUCCUGAUUCCAGUACUUUGCAAACACUGCUGCUUCUGACUUAGUCUUCCUGCAUCACAGGCCCAAAUUUUUGGGUCACCUAUCUUCCUCCUGCAUUCAUCUUAGACUCAAUGUCGCUUUUUCCAGGAAGCCUUGCUUGUCGCUACUGUUACCAAUAUCAACUCAUUCCACUCUCACAUCUUUCAAGACUUGAAUGAUUUGUGCUCCCUUGACCUUGAUGGUUUUGAGUAUUAGUUUUUCAAUGGGCUUGUUUAGCAUGUCUAGUCCUGCUUGGUAGAGGCCUCAGCUUGUUCUUUUUCAUUUCUCCGAAUUUUCUUGCUUGCCUCUAGGAAAGACCUGCAUUCCAUUUUGUUUCAAUGACAGACCCUCAAAAUUCAACUACAGAUGUUAGAUUCUACCGUGACUUGAAUCCAUCAACACCAAUAAAGAUAAACUCUUCAAAAAUAUCAAGUAAAGGGUAUAAACAGACAAAUCUACAAAAGGGUCCC
rnacentral:lncRNA from 10 species